rnacentral:lncRNA from 1 species
UGCAUCUUCAUAUCCUCACACCACCGAAUUCAAUGGAAGAGUCUUACCAUUGCUUGCAGCAAGUCCUGCCAUUUACUCUUUUCUUAUUGGCCCCAAAUGAGUCACGUGCUCAUGUGUGGAUCAAUCCUGUGGCUAAGGAGAUGAAAUGAUCUGCCCCACUCAGGGCUGAGAAUGAGGUCUCACUUUAGCUGCGUCGCCAGAAUGGUGUUUCCAAGCAAAACUGUGUUGCUGGUGUGGAUGCCAGGCAAUAAACACACAAUUUCUGCUACAUGGAAAUUUCUCAUCAGUGGGUAAAAGGUCUACACCUUGAAGCAUUAAGACUCAGGCAUCUGCACCAAAAAUUUUACAUCUUUGGCAUAAACCCGAGUGAGAUGAGGAACCAGGACCCUCG